UCAAGCAAAAAAGAGCGCAGGGUGGAUGCCUUGGCACUAAGAGCCGAAGAAAGACGUGAUAAGCUGCGAAAAGCUGCGGGGAGGAGCAAAUAUCCACUGAUCCGCAGAUGUCUGAAUGGGGAAACCCGCAUGAGCAUACCUCAUGCAUCCAUACGCCAAUCCAUAACGUAUGGAGGGGAACCGCCUGAACUGAAACAUCUAAGUAGGGCGAGGAAGAGAAAGAAAAUUUUUCGAUUUCCAAAGUAGCGGCGAGCGAAAUGGAAAGAGGCCAAACCGGAGUGCGUGCACUCCGGGGUUCGGACCGCAUUUAAGAUUCAGUGAUUCUAGCAGAAAGGUUUUGGGAAAGCCUGCCGGAGAGGGUGAAAGCCCCGUAAGCGAAAGAGGAACUGACUGAGCGGUAUCCAGAGUACAUCGAGACACGAGAAACCUUGAUGGAAUGAGCGGGGACCACCCCGUAAGCCUAAAUACUCCUUAGUGACCGAUAGCGCAUAGUACUGUGAAGGAAAGGUGAAAAGGACCCCGGGAGGGGAGUGAAAGAGAACCUGAAACCCUGUGUUUACAAGCUGUGGGACAUCUUUACAUGAUGAACCGCGUACUUUUUGUAGAACGGUCCGGCGAGUUGCGGAUGCCGGCAAGGUUAAGCACUUAAGGUGUGGAGCCGAAGGGAAACCAAGUCUGAAGAGGGCGCAUAUAGUCAGUAUCCGCAGACCCGAAACCGGGUGAUCUACCCAUGUCCAGGUUGAAGUUGCCGUAAAAGGCAAUGGAGGACCGAACGCACAUCCGUUGAAAAGGGUGGCGAUGAGGUGUGGGUAGGGGAGAAAUUCCAAUCGAACCCGGAGAUAGCUGGUUCUCCUCGAAAUAGCUUUAGGGCUAGCCUCGUUUUAGUCUUAUGGAGGUAGAGCACUGAAUUUCCGCGGGGGCGUCAAAGCUUACCAAAGAAUAUCAAACUCCGAAUGCCAUGUAGAUGAUGAACGGGAGUCAGACUGCACGAGAUAAGUUGGGCAGUCAAAAGGGAAAGAGCCCAGACCGCCAGCCAAGGUCCCAAAGUGUGUGUUAAGUGGAAAAGGAUGUGGGAUCUCCAAGACAACUAGGAUGUUGGCUCAGAAGCAGCCACACAUUCAAAGAGUGCGUAACAGCUCACUAGUCGAGAGGUCCUGCGCCGAAAAUGUCCGGGGCUGAAACACAACACCGAAGCUGCGGAAUUGCGAAUGCAAUUGGUAGAGGAGCAUUCUUAAUACCGACGAAGCUGUACCGGAAGGAGCAGUGGAGGGAUAAGAAGAGAGAAUGCCGGAAUGAGUAGCGAGAGAGAGGUGGGAAUCCUCUCGGCCGAAUAUCCAAGGUUUCCAGAGUAAAGCUGAUCUGCUCUGGGUAAGUCGGGGCCUAAGGCGAGGUCAAAAGACGUAGCCGAUGGACAACAGGUUUAGAUUCCUGUACCGCAUAUAAACAGAACUGUGGGGACGCAUGGGGAGAGCAUGGGCCGGGAAUGGAAAUACCGGUGCAAGCGAAGGAGGUGUGCAGCCGGCAAAUCCGCUGCAUGAGCCGAAAGCGUGACGCGGAGCGAAAUGAAAGUAGCGAAGCAUGUGAGCCCUGUGCCGAGAAAAGCCGCUAUUGCUUUAUAUGUGCCCGUACCGUAAACCGACACAGGUGGAUGAGGAGAGAAUCCUAAGGCCGGCGGAAGAAGUAUUGUUAAGGAACUCGGCAAAAUGACCCCGUAACUUCGGGAGAAGGGGUGCCCACGGGAGUGGGCCGCAGAGAAUAGGCUCAAGCAACUGUUUAGCAAAAACACAGGUCUAUGCGAAACCGAAAGGUGAAGUAUAUGGGCUGACGCCUGCCCGGUGCUGGAAGGUUAAGAGGAGAGGUUAGCGCAAGCGAAGCUUUGAAUUUAAGCCCCAGUAAACGGCGGCCGUAACUAUAACGGUCCUAAGGUAGCGAAAUUCCUUGUCGGGUAAGUUC
rnacentral:rRNA from 1 species